AUUGAACGCUGGCGGCAUGCUUUACACAUGCAAGUCGAACGGUAACAGGCCUUCGGGCGCUGACGAGUGGCGAACGGGUGAGUAAUGCAUCGGAACGUGCCCAGUCGUGGGGGAUAACUAUCCGAAAGGAUAGCUAAUACCGCAUACGAUCUGCGGAUGAAAGCGGGGGACCUUCGGGCCUCGCGCGAUUGGAGCGGCCGAUGUCAGAUUAGGUAGUUGGUGGGGUAAAGGCUCACCAAGCCAACGAUCUGUAGCUGGUCUGAGAGGACGACCAGCCACACUGGGACUGAGACACGGCCCAGACUCCUACGGGAGGCAGCAGUGGGGAAUUUUGGACAAUGGGCGCAAGCCUGAUCCAGCAAUGCCGCGUGCAGGAAGAAGGCCUUCGGGUUGUAAACUGCUUUUGUACGGAACGAAACGGCUCUGGUUAAUACCUGGGGCUAAUGACGGUACCGUAAGAAUAAACACCGGCUAACUACGUGCCAGCCGCCGCCGUAACAC
rnacentral:rRNA from 1 species